rnacentral:tRNA from 1 species
GCUGCAAUGGCCGAGUGGUUAAGGCGUUUGACUCGAAAUCAAAUGGGAUUCCCGCGUAGGUUCGAAUCCUACUUGCAGCG